rnacentral:rRNA from 1 species
AGUGAACGCUGGCGGUAGGCCUAACACAUGCAAGUCGAACGGCAGCACAGGAGAGCUUGCUCUCUGGGUGGCGAGUGGCGGACGGGUGAGGAAUACAUCGGAAUCUACUUUUUCGUGGGGGAUAACGUAGGGAAACUUACGCUAAUACCGCAUACGACCUACGGGUGAAAGCAGGGGACCUUCGGGCCUUGCGCGAUUGAAUGAGCCGAUGUCGGAUUAGCUAGUUGGCGGGGUAAAGGCCCACCAAGGCGACGAUCCGUAGCUGGUCUGAGAGGAUGAUCAGCCACACUGGAACUGAGACACGGUCCAGACUCCUACGGGAGGCAGCAGUGGGGAAUAUUGGACAAUGGGCGCAAGCCUGAUCCAGCCAUACCGCGUGGGUGAAGAAGGCCUUCGGGUUGUAAAGCCCUUUUGUUGGGAAAGAAAUCCAGCUGGCUAAUACCCUGGGGUCAUGACGGUACCGUAAGAAUAAGCACCGGCUAACUUCGUGCCAGCAGCCGCCGUAA